GUACUCACUGUUAAAAUUGUUUAAAACAUGAGGUAGUUCUUUGUCUUUGCAAUCAUCUUCAAUUGUCAGUACUUAUUUGAAACACGUUGAACCUGAAAAUGCAUAAAUUUGAGAAGGACCAGCCUGUGGGCGCUCCUCUGCUGUUAAUAAGUACAUCAAUUCCAUACAAAA